CGUGUUAUACGCCGGUGCGGUAUAUUAAAAUUGGAACAAUAUAGAGAAGAUUAGCAUGGCUUCUGCACAAGAAUGACAAGCAAAAUUUGUGAAGCGUUCCAUGGAUUC